rnacentral:RNase_P_RNA from 1 species
ACAGUCAGUCGGUCUGUCGCCGUUGUCGCAAGGCAAAGGAGGAAAGUCCGGGCAGCACAGAGCACUCCACUUCCUAACAGAAAGCUGUUCGUGAGAGCAGAGUAACGCAGAAGAAAAUAACCGCCCGCAAGGGUAAGGGUGAGAAGGUGGGGUAAGAGCCCACCGGCCGUGCAGCGAUGUACGGGCCGUGUGUCUUGGAGGCUGCAAGUUCAUGU